AUUGAACGCUGGCGGCAGGCCUAACACAUGCAAGUCGAACGAGUGGCGGACGGGUGAGUAAUGUCUGGGAAACUGCCCGAUGGAGGGGGAUAACUACUGGAAACGGUAGCUAAUACCGCAUACCAUCGGAUGUGCCCAGAUGGGAUUAGCUAGUAGGUGGGGUAACGGCUCACCUAGGCGACGAUCCCUAGCUGGUCUGAGAGGAUGACCAGCCAAACUGGAACGGAGACACGGUCCAGACCCCUACGGGAGGCAGCAGUGGGGAAUAUGGCACAAGGGGUGAAAGCCUGAUGAAGCCAGGCGGCGGGGAUGAAGAAGGCCUUCGGGUGUUAAAGUACUUUCAGGGGGGAGGCGUUACUCGCAGAAGAAGCACCGGCUAACUCCGUGCCAGCAGCCGCGGUAAUAC
rnacentral:rRNA from 1 species